CGCUCUGAAAGACAAGAUGGUUGUAUCACGAAAGGAUGUUUCUAGCUCAUGAAGCAAAAGGUGUAAAUUUACUCAAUAUAAAGAAUGUUAUGGUCAAAAAAGGCAAGAAAUACGAAAUCCAGAAGCUACAAUUUGUAGAAUAACAGCAGAAAAGGUCACGUUUUCUAUUGAUGUGGUAAACUGUUUCUACUGACGCUUGAGGGAGACCUUCAAUAAAACUCUGCAUCUGCAAGGACAUUGGAAUCUCCACAAGUUGUGACAACAGUGUUCCAAACUCUUCCAUUAAAUUCAUAUCCACUUCUUUCUUUACAUCAUCGUUAAAGCUGUCAAGGAAUAUGUACCACUCAGUUUUCAUGCAAAAAUCAUGAUCUGUUUGGCUUGGCCAUUCGUUGACAUACGCUUCACAUGCAAAAUUCUUGAAUGCUGCUCUGAAGCUGAGUUCAGAGAAUAAGAAUCGCAAUGCUUGCCUGACUUUAAUUUGUCAAAAAAAUUCGGCUUUAUCAACCACUUAGUUGAGAGGUUUCUUUCCAUCUUUCUGGUUGUUGUUGCUUUGACCAACAUCGUUAAAAAACAUCGUCAAAAAGCAACAGCACCCCCAUUGUGACCAAUGAUGUCAUUGAAACAAACGUUUAAGAAGAAGAAGAAGAAAAAGAGCAGUGUGUUUCACUUGAAAAUGAGAAAUCUCAAAGAAAGGAACUCCUACCAAAACCAAAAUUAUAAUCAAAUGGUAAUGCGAUACGUAUGCCAGUGUUUAUUCCACGAAAAUAUUGGAACAGCAGAUGAAAAAAACUGUUGAGGAAAUCCUACAAAAUGGGGGAAAUACAGAGAAUCAGACGUUAGAGUACAGGGACACCAUUGGAUUUAAAGACGUUUAUCGAUACCUCCACUAUUUAACUUUAAACGGUUUUGAAAUUGGACUUUUAGAGCAUAAUAUCAUAUGGGAAGUUCACAGCAUACUAAUGAAGCACCGAGGUCACUUAUGCACUGUGGGACAAUGCAUUGUAAACGAAAGGGUAGUCGAGUUUGAUGGGAAGAUUCGCCGGUACCCUCCACCAUGUAACAUUGAAUCGAUUAUGCAAAUAUUAAUCGAUGACUUCAACCGAAACUUGAAUAAGAUCAAUUCACAAUUCAUCAUCAAUUCAUCAAUCGGAAAUAAAACCACAUUUGGGUCGAUAAACUGUUCUAUCCAAUCAUCAUCACCAUCAUCAGUAUUACUUUCUUCCAUGAUUCCUUGUAAAACUAAUUUUCAGAAUAAAAACCUCAAAUUUAUAUCCAAAGAAACCUAAAUUAGUACAUGACGUCAGCCGUCUCCAAAACUUUGGAGCUAUAAGCAAGUAAAGGGACACGUGUGACACGUGUUAAGAGAGUCCCAAUCUUGAUAAUUCAUCAUCUCUAAAAAUAAAACACACCUCCAUAAAAAAGACGAACACUGCUCAGAGCUUCAUUAUGCAAUCGAAAUGAAAGCUAUGGAAGUAAAAGUAGUCUGCAACAAGAAUGAUGAAAAGAAUCCCUUUGUGAAAAUUCGAAAGUUAGAUGUUGUGCCAGAAGAAAAAGUCCUCCUCACCUUGCAAGAGUGGGAGGGUCUCAAAACCAAAAUAACAUMCAUUGACAAGGAAAUAAAACAGAAAUCCAAACAACCAAAAUUGCAACGUCAAAAUGGUAAUAUGAAUAGUGUUGAUUUAGAUGUAGUGAGAGCAAUACAAGAGCUGAAUGAACUAAUUGACGCAAACAAACAAGCCUUUAAUGAUGAUGAUUUUUCAUCAGUUAAAGAUAGCAUGUCAACUCAUCCAUGGCAAGAAAAGCUAGCCAAUAUUGAAUCCAACAACUGGUAUGAUGAAGAUUCAGAAGGAAGCGAGCAAGAAAUCGAUCAACUAAGUACCAUAGCACAAGUUGAUGUAAGUGAUUUGUUUCAGUUAACACCACCACUCAUAGAUUUCACAAAUGUCAAUGCAAUGUUUAACAUUAGUCAACAAGUGGACAAAUAGCUGAAGGUGAUGCAGUGGAUUUUGCAACACAGACAAAUUUCCUCAACGAUAAUGCUAUCUUUCCUUUUGACCAUUAUAUAGACAAUCAAGAAUAUGAAAAAAGAGUGUAGAAGAGAGAUAUCAAAUUGAAAGAAACAACAAAAAUGAAAAUAGACUAGAUAAAAAAUACAUCCUACAUCAACCAUAUCAAAGAAUUGGCCCACAAAGUUGUCCCUCGUUGAGCAUAUAUGAUAAUCUUACCUUGUUGUUUCCACAUAUGGCAUGGAUUCUUUGAUAUGAUAUCAAUUUAAAAAAUAUAUAUAUGAGAGGUUUCAGCUGAAAAAGGGUCUUAUUCAUAAAUAUUUUGCUUUGGACUACAUGUAAAACUGUUGCGUCAUCAAAGGGGUCUUAAUCUUUAAGACCCUUUUUAAGUUGCAACCCCUCAUAUAAUUAUUAAAUAAUCACAUAGAAAUGAAGUAUAUCUGUAUUACAUCUAACCUCAACAUUGCAAUAAAAGUUGACUCGAAGCAUGCUUAUUUGAAAUUAUUUAUUUUGCUUUAAUGAACAGGAUAGGCUGUAAUCAAGUUCAUCUCUAAAUCUGUGACGACUUUAAUUCGAUGACAGGGGAGGCCAUCCUUCCCGUGAACACCAAUCGCCCUUCGCCGUCUGUGGCUUGUAAAAUUCAGACUAAUAGUAAAAGCACAUAAAACAUUGAUACACAAUUUUCAAAAAUGGCGCGCAAACUGGCAAACAAUGAACAAAAUCUCUGCGAAUGAAUCAAGCACUCACCGAUCUUUAUAAAUGGGAUCUUUUUCACCCCUUUUUCACCCCAUUUCCAACCGUCUCAAUAAUCAUAUCUUGAAUGAUGUCUCUGCUGUUGGUGUAAAAACGACUUUAUUUCGGUUUUGGGAAGCCCGUGUGAUCUUCAAUGAUAUGAUCCAUGUUGAUCAUAUCAUUGAAUGAAUAACAACUUGUUUUUUUUCCAAAUCCAUCUGCUCAUCCUCGAAAGAAUGCUCCUACUCGAAAUAGGAAGUUAAAAGCUUUUUUUUAAUAAACUUUUUAUUGAUUAACAUAUUAUACAAAUUACAUAUUACAAUAAAUAUUGCAAAAUUUUACUAAUAUGAGAGUAACUAUAUAUUGAUAUAUAACAGCACAAAAAGAGACACUGAAUAUAAAAACAACAAAACAACAACAACAAAAACAAAAACAUCAAUCAUACAAAUGGCAAACACCCUUUUCAUAACGAUUACUCAUUAUUUAUGCAAAAUCUUUAAAUAGAACUGAACAACUUUUUCCAUUUUUUGUAAUGGAAGUCUAAUUUUUCUUUGUUCAGAGCAAUUGAAUACUUUAUUUUUUUAUAAAAUUUUAAUAGCAUUUUAAAAGAUUCUAGGGAGGGAUUAGCUAAAGGCUUGUCUCUUAGUUUAUAAAGUGAGAAUUUGUACAAAA